rnacentral:rRNA from 1 species
AACGCGAAGAACCUUACCCAGGUUUGACAUCCUUGGAAUUUCUCUGAAAGGAGAGAGUGCUUUAUUGAGCCAAGUGACAGGUGCUGCAUGGCCGUCGUCAGCUCGUGUCGUGAGAUGUUUGGUUAAGUCCAUCAACGAGCGCAACCCUUAUGUUUAGUUGAAUUUCUCUAGACAGACCGCCCUGGCAACAGGGAGGAAGGAGGGGAUGAUGUCAGGUCAGUAUUGCCCUUACACCUGGGGCUACAAACACGCUACAAUGGCCGGUACAAAGGGCAGCCAAGUCGCAAGACGGAGCAAAUCCCAUCAAAGCCGGUCCCAGUUCGGAUUGUAGGCUGAAACUCGCCUGCAUGAAGCCGGAAUCGCUAGUAAUGGUAGGUCAGCUAUACUACCGUGAAUACGUUCCCGGGCCUUGUA